UGGUGUAAAGAAGAAUCCCUCUUCCCCUCUGUACACAACAUUGGGUGUAAUUACCAAAGGUACCGUUAUUGAGGUGAAUGUGAGUGAGCUUGGCCUUGUGACACAAGGGGGCAAAGUUAUCUGGGGGAAAUAUGCACAGGUAACCAACAAUCCAGAAAAUGAUGGUUGCAUUAAUGCAGUCCUGCUUGUUUGAUUGGAGUCUUAGUAAAUAUUGCACAUGAACUCUUGCAAAAUCGAGGCAAAUAAAUCAAGAAGCUUACAAGCAGUUUAAGACCUUUAGCUUCCCACAAACCAAGUGUCAAACUUGAACCCGGGAGAGGAAGGACAAAGAACUUAAACAAGUUCUGAAAAUUUUACAAAUAUUAAAGCCCAAUAGUAUACAAAC